GCAAACGGGAUUAGAUACCCUGGUAGUCCACGCUGUAAACGAUGUCGAUUUGGAGGUUGUGCCCUUGAGGCGUGGCUUCCGGAGCUAACGCGUUAAAUCGACCGCCUGGGGAGUACGGCCGCAAGGUUAAAACUCAAAUGAAUUGACGGGGGCCCGCACAAGCGGUGGAGCAUGUGGUUUAAUUCGAUGCAACGCGAAGAACCUUACCUACUCUUGACAUCCAGAGAACUUUCCAGAGAUGGAUUGGUGCCUUCGGGAACUCUGAGACAGGUGCUGCAUGGCUGUCGUCAGCUCGUGUUGUGAAAUGUUGGGUUAAGUCCCGCAACGAGCGCAACCCUUAUCCUUUGUUGCCAGCGGUUCGGCCGGGAACUCAAAGGAGACUGCCAGUGAUAAACUGGAGGAAGGUGGGGAUGACGUCAAGUCAUCAUGGCCCUUACGAGUAGGGCUACACACGUGCUACAAUGGCAUAUACAAAGAGAAGCGACCUCGCGAGAGCAAGCGGACCUCAUAAAGUAUGUCGUAGUCCGGAUUGGAGUCUGCAACUCGACUCCAUGAAGUCGGAAUCGCUAGUAAUCGUAGAUCAGAAUGCUACGGUGAAUACGUUCCCGGGCCUUGUACACACCGCCCGUCACACCAUGGGAGUGGGUUGCAAAAGAAGUAGGUAGCUUAACCUUCGGGAGGGCGCUUACCACUUUGUGAUUCAUGACUGGGG
rnacentral:rRNA from 1 species